UAAAAUUAAAGGGCUGCAGUAUAUUGACUGUACAAAGGUAGCAUAAUCAAUAGUCAUUUAAUUAGUGACUUGUAUGAAAGAUUGGAUGAAAUAUAAACUGUCUUUUAUUUAAUUAUAAAAUUUAAUUUUUUUUUUAAAAAGUUAAAAUAAUUUAAAAAGACGAGAAGACCCUAUAGAGUUUUAUAAGUAAUUAAAUUAAGAUUAUUUUGAAAAUUAAGUUUUAAAUUUAGUUUAUUUAUUUUGUUGGGGUGACAGAAAAAUAUAAAAAACUUUUUUUUUUUAUAAAGACAUUUAUAAUUGAUUAAGAUGAUCCAAUAAUAUUGAUUAUAAGAAAAAAUUACCUUAGGGAUAACAGCGUAAUUUUUUUUUUUAGUUCGAAUAAAAAGAAGAGUUUGCGACCUCGAUGUUGGAUUAAGAUAAAGAUUAGGUGUAGAAG
rnacentral:rRNA from 1 species